rnacentral:rRNA from 1 species
UUCGGGGAACGUUAACGGCGUCGAGCGGCGGACGGGUGAGUAAUGCCUGGGAAAUUGCCCUGAUGUGGGGGAUAACCAUUGGAAACGAUGGCUAAUACCGCAUAAUAGCUUCGGCUCAAAGAGGGGGACCUUCGGGCCUCUCGCGUCAGGAUAUGCCCAGGUGGGAUUAGCUAGUUGGUGAGGUAAGGGCUCACCAAGGCGACGAUCCCUAGCUGGUCUGAGAGGAUGAUCAGCCACACUGGAACUGAGACACGGUCCAGACUCCUACGGGAGGCAGCAGUGGGGAAUAUUGCACAAUGGGCGCAAGCCUGAUGCAGCCAUGCCGCGUGUAUGAAGAAGGCCUUCGGGUUGUAAAGUACUUUCAGCAGUGAGGAAGGUUCAUGCGUUAAUAGCGUAUGGAUUUGACGUUAGCUGCAGAAGAAGCACCGGCUAACUCCGUGCCAGCAGCCGCGGUAAUACGGAGGGUGCGAGCGUUAAUCGGAAUUACUGGGCGUAAAGC